GUAUAUGGCCAUGCUACCCUGAACACGCUCGAUCCCGGAAGCUAAGCAGGGUCGGGCCUGAUUAGUACUUGGAUGAGAGACCACCUAGGAAUACCAGGUGCUGUAGGCA
rnacentral:rRNA from 1 species